AGUGAACGCUGGCGGUAGGCCUAACACAUGCAAGUCGAACGUCAGCACAGUAAGAGCUUGCUCUUACGGGUGGCGAGUGGCGGACGGGUGAGGAAUACAUCGGAAUCUACUUUUUCGUGGGGGAUAACGUAGGGAAACUUGCGCUAAUACCGCAUACGACCUACGGGUGAAAGCAGGGGAUCUUCGGACCUUGCGCGAUUGAAUGAGCCGAUGUCGGAUUAGCUAGUUGGCGGGGUAAAGGCCCACCAAGGCGACGAUCCGUAGCUGGUCUGAGAGGAUGAUCAGCCACACUGGAACUGAGACACGGUCCAGACUCCUACGGGAGGCAGCAGUGGGGAAUAUUGGACAAUGGGCGCAAGCCUGAUCCAGCCAUACCGCGUGGGUGAAGAAGGCCUUCGGGUUGUAAAGCCCUUUUGUUGGGAAAGAAAAGCAGCAGGUUAAUACCCCGCUGUUCUGACGGUACCCAAAGAAUAAGCACCGGCUAACUUCGUG
rnacentral:rRNA from 1 species